GAUGAACGCUGGCGGCGUGCCUAAUACAUGCAAGUCGAGCGAAUGGAUUAAGAGCUUGCUCUUAUGAAGUUAGCGGCGGACGGGUGAGUAACACGUGGGUAACCUGCCCAUAAGACUGGGAUAACUCCGGGAAACCGGGGCUAAUACCGGAUAACAUUUUGAACCGCAUGGUUCGAAAUUGAAAGGCGGCUUCGGCUGUCACUUAUGGAUGGACCCGCGUCGCAUUAGCUAGUUGGUGAGGUAACGGCUCACCAAGGCAACGAUGCGUAGCCGACCUGGGAGGGUGAACGGCCACACGGGGACUGAGACACGGCCCAGACUCCUACGGGAGGCAGCAGUAGGGAAUCUUCCGCAAUGGACGAAAGUCUGACGGAGCAACGCCGCGUGAGUGAUGAAUGCUUUCGGGUCGUAAAACUCUGUUGUUAGGGAAGAACAAGUGCUAGUUGAAUAAGCUGGCACCUUGACGGUACCUAACCAGAAAGCCACGGCUAACUACGUGCCAGCCGCCGCAGUAA
rnacentral:rRNA from 1 species